rnacentral:rRNA from 1 species
AACGAACGCUGGCGGCGCGCCUAAUACAUGCAAGUCGAGCGAGAAGACGUAGCAAUACGUUUGUAAAGCGGCGAACGGGUGAGGAAUACAUGGGUAACCUACCCUCGAGUGGGGAAUAACUAGCCGAAAGGUUAGCUAAUACCGCGUACGCUCCUUGGACUUCGGUUCAGGGAGGAAAGCGAUACCGUGGGUAUCGCGCUCUUGGAUGGGCUCAUGUCCUAUCAGCUUGUUGGGAGGUAACGGCUCACCAAGGCUUCGACGGGUAGCUGGUCUGAGAGGACAAUCAGCCACACUGGCACUGCGACACGGGCCAGACUCCUACGGGAGGCAGCAGUAAGGAAUAUUGCGCAAAUGGGCGAAAAGCCUGACGCAGCGACGCCGCGUGGGGGAUGAAGGUC